UGUUCACUUUCUCGUGGCAAAUUGAUUGUAUUCUCAACACUUGUUCAUCAUGGGGAAUAUUCCUUCUGUGUGCCAUGUAAACAAAUUGCUAAGUACAUUCUUAACAGAGUAGGUAUAAUGAGAAGCUGAUUGAGUAGCAAUUUGUCAACUACCUUUUGGAAGUGCAUGAAGUGUAUUAUCCUCAUCCUAUCUGUCCCUUCAUCGAAAAACCCAAUUAAGAGAGCCAUCUUCUGGUGGAGUACUAUCCUAUUUGGAUGCACGUGUAUUUUUUAAAUGAUGUCUGUGACGAUCUGUUGCAGUGAAAAGGAGCAGGAUCCACGUUUCUUCUUUGCGUUGGCCCAGCUGUGAAGCCAAUUGUGAAACUGCAAAUGUAUUCCCAGCUUUAGACCAAUGAGCUAAACUGUGGCCAAGGAUUAAUUAUGGGAUCUCUCCAGUCUGAUGGACUCCACACUACACUGGGUGCUGCAUUCACUCACUGUCACUGUUAAAUAUGUUAUCAAA